rnacentral:rRNA from 1 species
GAUCCUGGCUCAGGAUGAACGCUAGCUACAGGCUUAACACAUGCAAGUCGAGGGGCAGCAUGACCUAGCAAUAGGUUGAUGGCGACCGGCGCACGGGUGAGUAACGCGUAUCCAACCUGCCCACCACUUGGGGAUAACCUUGCGAAAGUAAGACUAAUACCCAAUGACAUCCCACGAAGACAUCUGAAUGGGAUUAAAGAUUUAUCGGUGAUGGAUGGGGAUGCGUCUGAUUAG